AUGUGUUUUGCAUCGUGUGAAUAUGAAACAGGGGAAGCCAUGGAGCCGAGUUUUGUUGGCAUUGGACUCAGGAGGUUUGGUGGGCUCUUUUCAGACAUGCUGCCCACAGCAAGCCUUUUAGUGCCCCAAGCCUUGGGUAAGAAGUCCACCGUGAAACAAAAACAGGACUCACUCUACAGGAUGGGAAAUGGAAGGGUGAGUCAGUCCUGACAUAAGGAAUGUCGAUAAGGAACGGCUGGAGUAACAGACACUUUCACAGCGUGUCUGAUGUGCUAAGAAGAGCCAGCCUGGAAUCAGGCAGGAGACCUGUGCUUUUAGCCCUCAGUCAAGGCACUUGUUCUUUUGUGAGUUGGAAUGUUGUGAGGGGUUUGAACUAGGUGAUGUCCAAGGUCCUUUUCAGCUUUAUUACCCCAUUCUGCAGGCCCAAAUGUCUUAUAUCCUAGGCCAUGUUUCGUGUUUCCUAUCGAUCUUGCUGUUGUUUUAUAGAGAAUAUGCAAAGAGCUAGAGAGUCAGCCAGAACCUGGAGAAGAAGAUAAUAGUGUGUUUUUCUUUUUUAAGAGAAAAUGGUGACCUUGGCAACUGUAAACCAUAAGCUUCAUAAACAAUGUUAAUGGACAGCUGACAGACUGGGAGAAGAAGUUGCAAUGCU
rnacentral:lncRNA from 1 species